UGACUAAAUACAUCAAUGUAUAUGGAAAGAGUGUGGUUAAAGAAAGUUAGAGAAGGGUAUAAUCGUAGUUUAACUCAAAAAAAAUUGCCUAUAAUUGUAGAGCUGGUACGACCGGGCAAAACAGAAAAUCUCCAAACCGUGAGUUAACAGUGGUUUGGAAAGAGUGAGUGAGUGAGUGAUUAAGCAGUGGUUAUUAACACACACAGAAACACAUCACAUAUAUCCAUGGCUGAGAAAAGCAAGAUUCUAUUCAUCGGAGGAACAGGUUACAUC
rnacentral:lncRNA from 1 species